rnacentral:lncRNA from 1 species
AUACGUGUGCCAAAAGGCGCAAACGGUCCCGGGCAAAGGUAAGGCGACACCCGUGGGAAUACCGUGCGUGAGGCCGCAAAGUGAUAUGAGGUGUUACAUGCUAGAUCGAUGUGGCAUUGAGUCGGGGUCCUGACAGCGUUGGUAUCAGAGCUUGACUGCCUGUAGGAUUACCAAGCCAAACUGGUCGAAGUUGAGUCUAGAAAUUCUUUAGUUAUAUAAGGGAAUUGAUUGUGGGAUGGAACGUAAGGCUCUUUUUACUCCUUAUACCUCAUGGCCUUCUGAUCUGAGUCAUCAUCUUCUCUUCUACGGGGAUUAAGAACUAGGCUAUCUCUUCUUUCCAUCAGGAUCACGUGUUACUAAUCCGUAGACUUAAAGAUUGUUGGAUUAAGCCUCAGUUCAGUUUCUACCUCUGUAUGUUAAUUGUUGAUCUCAAAACCUUGAUAUUGUGCUUCUGAGUGGUUAUGCCACCAUUUUUGUGAAUGUCUCAAAUCUUUUCUGAGCAUUUACAGCCGUUAUGCUGUCCGAGUCAUUCCAGGUUUCUAAAUAGUUUGAUGCAUUUGCAAAAUCCUUUUCCUCUGAUUUCGAUGCUCCUUUAUGCCAGCUCAAUCACACUAAUUGUUGAGUUGAGGUAUUCUAUUGCCUUGACAUUAUGUUGGAGUUACUAUUAUGGCCCUAGGUGUUUAGGGAGUCACCUAGUAAUCUAGCAAUGUUUUGUGUUCCCAGUGUGAUGAUUCUGGCCAUCAUUCUCGAAAGCAUCCCGUGAUGCUACUUAGUAAUAGGUAUUCUGUUCCUGGGUUCUUGAACCCGAGAUUCACUCUACCUACUUCAUGUUGAUAGUAAUUGCUAGUGCCUUUAGGAUAUUAGUAACCUUUACGAUAGUCCUUGAAGUCCGUGGUAUCUUCUUCUUCCAAAUACCAUGAACUAAUUAUGUCAGAAGUUCCUCGUUGAACUGAACGAUCACAGCCAGAGUGCUCUUGAUGAGUUCUCCAUUAUAUGUUAUGGCUCUGCCAGUUCUACUUUUCUGCAUGGGUUAUCCGGAAGAAUUAUGUUGAACUUGGAUCGACAUACUAAUCUAUGCAUCCACAACUCAGAAAGUUAUAUGUUCCUUUGAGUUGUCCCUCUUUAGUUGUCUACUGACCCUCGUCUAUCAAUUGAUAGUCAAGAGUAUGUGUGCGUUCGUUUAUCGAUGCCUAUUACUCUUGUGGUCCGUCAAGCCAUUCUAUCGCGGAAUGACUAGGAGAAACAAACUCCAGUACCUCUUCCAUAUCUAGGAUUGGGUCAAAGCAAUUGUGCUCCGCAGAUCAAAAUGCCAGCCCAGCUUUUGAUUCUGUUCUACCCUGAAGUAUUACCGUCUUUAUGUCAGGAUUUUCAUGAGAAUUGCACCGGCUCUUGUGAAUUCUUGAUGUAGUGAUACUUCUCGCCAUCAUUAUUCAUCCCUCGGUUCCGUGUUGUCGCAACCGGAAUGCCGACAAGUGAAUCAGGAUGUGUGAACUCAAUACUCCUAGCAACCCCAUUGCUUGGUAGUUAAUGGACAAUAAUCUUAUUCCUAGUAUGUUGGUUAUUGAAUCAUCAUUCUAAGACUGAUCGUGCUAUCUAGUCCUUAUUUCCGGUGCACCCUUCGAUCAAUGAGUUAGGAUUGUGUCAAGUCCUCACUCAUUUGAUCAUAUCAUCUUGCCCUGAAAAGCAAGAUUGUUCUCGAUCUUAGUAACAUAUCGGUGGUUUGUGAUUUUCCGAAUAUCUUCUCGAAAGUAUCACCAGGUUGUCACCUGACUGUUAUGUUAAGCUCGUGAUCAAGUUGGUUUAUCUUGUAAACCACCCUUUCUCCAAGAAUCCGUGUUGGAUACCCCUGAGCUAGUUGGUUAAGCUAUGCAUCAACUUGGAGAGUUGGAAGAUAGAAGCUUGUCCGAUUUAGUUCAUCUUAAGGGAUAUCCUGUGUGUGUGUGUGUGUGUGUGUUGAAGAAAGAUGAUAUCUUCAUCGAUUGGUCCCUAUGAUCGGUUGCUGGACCUAUUGUCUUAUCAAUCCUUUGAUUUGAGUGUGGGCUAUCGUCAAAUCAAAUCAGAACCAACGAUAUUCGUAAUGUUGUCUUACUCGUGGUUUUUCCUCGAGCAUACACCAUUACAUCUUUGGCCUGACCAAUGCUAUCACUUGUUCACUUAACUAUGGAAUUCCUUUUAAAAGGAAACCCAUAUGAAUUGUUGUUGAGCCCAUUGACAACAUCCUUAUCUCCUCCAUGAUUUUGUUGAACAUUAAGCUAGUGUUGGAAACUCUUGAAAGCAUUUUCUUCAUGCUAGCUCAUGAAGUAUUUGUUUGAUGAAAAGAGUGACUUCCUCUUGUACACGUGCAUUUGGUGAAAGUUGCCGCCGUGGAUUUGAGAAAGUUAGUUUUGCUUCCUCUGGAAUCAUCCCAAGUCAGUAAUGCAUACGUGCAAAGUAUUCUGUGGUCUGGAGACUUGCAACCUUCAUUCCAUAUGUGUUCCGAGCACACCAAGCCACUGAUUGAUUUGUUCAAGGAGAAGAAGUUCCUUCUUAAGAGCAUGCCUUAUGCAAGGAUUUUAUAUCCUCGUCGAUGGUUCCCCCUCCUGAACUCGGUAGUGUUUUAUUAUAAGACUACUUUGUGGUCAUGCUUGUCUUGGACAACGUGUUCACAUGUUUGUAGCAGAACCAGCUCAUGUUUUGGAGCUUGCUAUCGUAGUUCAUCUCCCGAGAAUUCCGCAACGUCAUCUCGUCGAUUUGUGUUGCAAACUUUCAUUUUUCUUCCUAGACUCGAUGAGUCUGGAAUAUCCUAACACCAACCAGAUCUGAAUCUCAGGCAGAUAUGAUGGUUGGAACAUUUUCCAAGAACUAUAAUAUUGGUCCCUCGAUAACCGGUAAACUGGAUGUCGUGGCCAACACAACCAACCGGAAGACCUAUUAUUAUAAUAUCCUGAUUGAGGAAGUUGGCCACCUUCCCAUAAGGACUUCGUAGGAUUUACUCCCUAGUUGUGCCUUAUGAUUUUUGUGUUCCCGAAGUCCGACCUUUUAGUUGAUGUUCUAGAUACCAGACCAUUUCUAUGAAUGGGUUACACUAGCACAUCAAGGAGAACAUUAGAAGCGGAGUGCUAAAUGUCUCUCGGUCGAUCAUCCAGAUUUUGUUCCUUGGCUUCGCUAAGGUGUAAUAUGAGAAGGUGUUAUCUUCCUUUGCAUCUGCAUCAUCCAUCAUCAUCCAUCAUGGUAGCAAGUUGUGUUGCCAGGAUCCUUGACACGGAUAUUGGUAGAAUCUUGAUGAUUGUGGAAAUGCUCAAGUUCUUGAGAGCACGCACAAGCGCUACGUGUUAUCAUCGGCACUAGCUGGGUUUGCUCUCAGUUUCCUCGAUUAUGCUAUGAUCUAUUCAAACAGUGAAUUCACUCUCUAUUGUUGGGUUCUUCCCCAGUUACCAGAAUCAUUCCUAGCAUUUGCAUUUUGUUCCUAGCUUGCACCGCCAAUGUGCCAUUCUACCACGGGUCUCUUCCAUCUUCGGUGAUAAGGAAAUUCAUCCAUUACGUUGUCUUCAACAAGGUAAUCCACAUCAUCCAAAUCCGAGUAUGCCACUCUACCGACCCCCGCCAAUCGAUUGCUGUGAUUUGCCUUAGGCUGAUAUAGGGAGUCUCAAUAAACUCUAUAUCAAAGGUAAUUCUUUUUGCCACUUAAGAUAAUAAUCUACGAAUCACCCUCCUCCAGGAUGUUUCGUCGUGGUAUCAUGGAAAUUCAACUCCUCGCUAUGUUGACAAUCAAUUACCACCUUCUUAAGCGUGAAAUUGUUGUCUACCUAGUGAACCUUCGUCAUUCGUCUCUUUCCACCCCUCUUGAUGUGUAACUCGUGUCUCAAUCCGAGAGAUGGUCCUAUGUCUCAUUCCGUGAGUUGUUCGAUCUUCGAGAAGAUCGACCCUUCUAGAGUCUCCUUCCCUCCAGGUCAUGUUGGCAGGAUUUCUCAGAGCAAGACGACAAGGCAAAGAUGGUGUUCAAAUCAACGUUCAUUUGAAGUGCACCCUGGAUCGUGAAGAUUGUACUAGUUUCCGUUUCCCCUUCAUCCUACCCUACGCUUGAAUCUCGAGACGAGAUUCUUGUUUAGUGGGGGUGAGUUGUCACAUCCCUAGCUUCUGGUAAUGCUCUAGGCUAGCUCAUGUGUGCAUCAUGUUUAAAUUCUGAAACUUGAACUGAGGAAUUUUGGAAGCCUCAAAACCCUAAAUAAAAGAGGGGCAAAAACCCUAGAAAUCUCAUCCAUUGCUCCAAAAUGCUCUUCUUAAAUGUUUGAUAAUUUUUGGUAAGGGUUCUGGUCCCAACCAAAAUAUUGAACAUUUUUAAGGAUUUAUUUUUGGUACUUUGGAUUUAAUUCAUUAGCUAUUUGAAUUUGAAUUAUAUUCAUAUAAUUAGAAUAUAAUUUCAAAUACCCCUGAAAUAUUUUAUAAGCUUUUGGAAAAGUCCAUCUAGCAAUAUAAAAUAUUCAGAGGAGUUUUUGGCAUUGUUUGAAUUAUUUUAAAAUUCAAAACAGUGGCAAAAUAAAUUAAUAAAACAAAACAGGAGAAAAAAAAAUAAAAAGAACAGAAGCCUACCUGGGCCACUUACCGCAGCCUACCUGGCGCCACCCACCGGCCCAGCUGGCCCAGCCCACCGCCGCCUCCCUCCCCUGUCGCCUUCCUCCUCUGCCAGGAGGACGGGCACGCGCCCGGCGCGCGCGGCCACGCGCCCCGGCCACCUCCUCCCUGCUUCGGCCACCUCCUGCCUCCCUGCUUGCCUCCACUACUCCCUGAAGACGCCACGUGGCCCCCACGAACUCUCUCACUCUCCCGUAUCUCUACCUCCGUCCCUAUCCCCCUCUGCUUUCUCUCUCUCACGAUCGACCACGAGCAACCGAGAGCACCGACGAGCUCCACCGCGGCCAGUGUCCACCCCUCGCCCCAGCGAUGCUUCCAGAGGAACCACCGCGCCUUCCUCUCCGUCUCCACCAACUCACGUGACGCCGGGAGCCCUGCAUCGCCGCCCACGUCGCCGUUCUCCUCCUCGGCCACCGGAAAUCGCCGCCGUUCGAUUCGCCGCCGACAGGACGUCCCCGAGCCCACCUAGCGUCUCGUCCGACUCCCCGUGAGCUCCUCUUCUCUUCCCCUCACUUCCCGCACCUGAUUUCGUCCCCUAGCUCCUUCUUCCACCACGGCCGAAGCUCGCCGCCGCCGUGCCUCGUCGCCGUCGNNNNNNNNNNCCCCCCCCCUCUGGGUCGAUGACAGGUGGGGCCAGCCCCCCUGUUAAUUAGUUAGUUAUUUUAUUUUAACUACCCCCUCUGCUGACACUGACAGGUGGGCCCCCGCCAUCAGGUGAUUAGCUUAAGCUAAUCACCACCUAAUCUAACCCCAGAGCCACUGACAUGUGGGCCCUAGUGCCCUAAUCUUUAAUUAAAUUAAACUAACCCCCCCUGUCUAACCUGUGUCACUGACGUGUGGCCCCCACACGUCAGGUUUGACCGGACCAGCCCCUGUUGACCUGUGACGUCAUGCCAACGUCAUGCUGACGCAAUAAUUCCUUUCUGGAAUUUAAAUAAAUCUUAAAUGAUUUAAUAAUUCCAGAAAAUUGUAAAAACUUCAAUAAAUCAUAGAAAAUUAACCGUAACUCCAAAUUAAAUAAAUUAUAUAUGAAAAAUUAUCAGAAAAAUUCAAGGAAUCCAUCUGUACCAUUUUCAUGCAUGUUAGAACAACUUAUCACUACUGUUUAGGGCAAAUGAAGUGAAUGACAUUUAAAUAACCACAUAUGGAGUUUGAAUUUGAAUCUUGGAUUCAAACCAACUUCAUUUAAUCUGGUUUUAGGUGCAUUAGCCCAAAACACAUUCAUUUUGCCAUGUCAUGAUCAUGCAUCAUAUUGUGCAUUGCAUUGAUUGUGUUUCUUCUGUGUUUGCCGGUAUUUGUCCCCUCUCGAUAGACGUGAUACCGAUGAUGUGAUCGUUGACACUGAUGAAGACUCAAUGUUAUCUUCAGAAGUGCCAGGCAAGCAAAACCCCCUUGUUCAUUCCAAUACAAUCCUACUCUCUCGCUCCUGCUCUCUUUUAAUGCAUUAGGACAACACUGAUUCAACUGUUACUUGCUGCGGUAGCUGAACCCCUUUAUCCUCUGCAUGACCUGUCAUUCCACAGUAAAUAGAUGAAACCCACUAGCAUGAGUAGGAGUUGUUUGAGCCCUGUUGUGCCUACUCAUUCAUGAUUGUUUGUCAUGGCUGCUACUGCUUAGAGUCGAGUCAGGUCUGAUUCAUCGGGGAUGAAUCAGAGGCGUGUGAACCUGUCCUACUGUGUGUGAGCUAAGUGUGUGAACACGAUUUGGUAAAGGUAGCGGUGAGAGGCCAUGUAGGAGUACAUGGUGGGUUGUCUCAUUGCAGCCGUCCUCAGGAACUGAGUUCUGUGUUGGUGAUCCAUGAUUCAGCUACUACCACGCAUUGGGCCCGAAACCAAUGGACCCUCUCGGCUUCUUAAUCACCCUUGUCCUCUGUCCAGGAGUUGCAAGUAGUUUCUGGUGUUUGUAGUAUGCUGGAGGCCGUGCGCAGCGCUGACCGUAGGGGUGGGCUAUGAUGCGGUAGGCACGUGGCCGGGUAUACCGGGCGCCCGUUUGGUGUCACGGAACCCUGUUCACAUCGUUUGGGGCUGUGAGCGAAACUCCGGCCGGAUCUCCUCAUGGAUGGAACCCGAAUAGGCGAUAAACCUGGACUAGAGACUCGAGUGUUUAGGCAGGCCGUGGCCGACACCCACGUUGGGCUUCCGCUUGAAGGUUGCCGAGUACAUGUCGUGUAAACGGCGGUAAGUGGUGAGAGCGUGUGUGAAGAAGUACACCCCUGCAGGGUUAUCAUCAUCUAUUCGAAUAGCCGUGUCCGCGGAAAAGGACUUCUGGGUUGCUUAUAUCAGUUCAUAGACAAGUGAAAGUGGAUACUCUAAAAUACGCAAGAUAAGCGUGAGUGCUAUGGAUGGCGUUCUCGUAGGGAGACGGGAGCGGAUCCAUAGUGGUGUAUUGAUAUGGUGAAUAUGUGGACUCGUGUGCGCCACCUCAAAAGAGUCGCUUACAGUCGUAGUUCAGGCUAGCCACCGAGUCAAAGCUGGCUUGCUGCAGUUAAACCCCACCAUCCCCUUUGUUGAUAAUGAUGCAUCUGUAGCUAGUUCUGAUGUAAGUCUUGCUGGGUACAUUUGUACUCACGUUUGCCUAUUUUAUGUUUUGCAGAGAGACUUCGGUCUCACUAGUAGUUUCGCGUGGACUUCGACGUUUAGCUUGUUACCUCAGCUACGAUCUUGUGCCUCGGCAGGAUCUGGUAGAUAGUCAGGCUUCUCAGCCUUUUUCAUUUAUAGAUGUCUGUACUCAGACAUGAUAGCUUCCGCUUGUGCUUUGAUUUGUAUGCUCUGAAUGUUGGGUCGUGAGACCCCUGUUUGUAAUAUCUCGCUCCUCGGAGCCUAUUGAAUAAAUACUUGAGUCGUAGAGUCAUUUUGUGAUGCCAUGUUGUAUUGCACAUAUCGAGCAUAUUGUGUGUAUGUUAUUGAAAUGCUUGGUAUGUGUGGGAUCUGACUAUCUAGUUGUUUAUCUUUAGUAGCCUCUCUUACCGGGAAAUGUCUCCUAGUGUUUCUUUUGAGCCUUGGUAGUUUGCUACUGCUCCGGAACACUUAGGCUGGCCGGCAUGUGUCCUUCUUCGUUCCUGUGUCUGUCCCUUCGGGGAAAUGUCACGCGAGGAAUACCGGAGUCCUGUUAGCCCGCUACAGCCCGGUUCACCGGAGUCCUGCUAGCCCAGUGCUACAGCCUGGAUUCACUCGCUGAUGACCGACGCGUUCGAUGUUGGGUCAUGGAUGCCUGUCCCUGUAAGUUAGUGCCACUUUGGGUUUACGACUAGCCAUGUCAGCCCGGGCUCCUUAUCAUAUGGAUGCUAGCAACACUGUCAUAUACGUGUGCCAAAAGGCGCAAACGGUCCCGGGCAAAGGUAAGGCGACACCCGUGGGAAUACCGUGCGUGAGGCCGCCAAGUGAUAUGAGGUGUUACAUGCUAGAUCGAUGUGGCAUUGAGUCGGGGUCCUGACAAAGAAAUUAACCCGCAGUCCCUGUUUUAGUGGCAACCUGGGAAAACGUUUCGUUUUUACAAAGACCCCCCUAUAUUUGUAAGAAUUCAACCCGCGAUCCUCUAUUUUAUCUUAUCCAGACGCUCGCUUUCCACCCACGGCGCCGCUGUGACCCUGCGCGCCGCCGUGAGUCCUCCUCGGCCUCCUCCGCCGUAAGCUUCUCAAUCUCCCGUGUUGAGAUUUAGUCCCACCUCGCUCCUCUGCAUCCCAUUCAAUCAAUUUAUAUACGCACGCGACUUUGCCGCAUCAGAAAUCAAGCAGCGUAUGAGGGGAACAUAAUGAAGCAAUUAAUUCGGCAAGAGGGAAGAUGGAGUGAAGGAAACUCCGAAUCAGGCGAGCACAAUCGACAGCAACAACCACCGUUGUGGCCUAAACCAAAUCUGGGACCAGAGGAGGCCGGCAGGACGAGGCAGCGGCUCGCUGGCGACUGAAGCAGAGGCACGGAUGGGAGGUAGCAGAGGAGUCCAGACGAGGCAGCGCCUUGGCAUGCCUCAGCAAGGCUGGGAGGUGGAGAUGCGCAGCAACUUGACGUGGGCAUGACGGCGGCAGCUCUGAGCUCCACAAUUGGCUCGGCUGCAUAUCUUUGGUAAAGAAAGCAGAGAUGCAGAGAUGAGAUUAAAAACGAAUGCAAAGAGGAGUCCUGGUCUGAGGCAGAGAGUGGCGCUGCGCCGGUCGUACAGGAGGACGGGCGCCGGCGGCCGGCGAACUCGGAGGCGGCGAUGGUGUGACGACGUCCGUGGUGGUGGUGGCGGCGGCAGUGGCGAGGCUUCCCUGCUCGUCAUGGGCAAGGGAAAAAAAGGAACUCAGAGGCAUGGAAAGGAUGAAGAGACGAAAAAUGAGAAGGGGG